rnacentral:rRNA from 1 species
GAAUAUUGGACAAUGGGCGCAAGCCUGAUCCAGCCAUGCCGCGUGUGUGAAGAAGGCCUUAUGGUUGUAAAGCACUUUAAGCGAGGAGGAGGCUACUGAAGUUAAUACCUUCAGAUAGUGGACGUUACUCGCAGAAUAAGCACCGGCUAACUCUGUGCCAGCAGCCGCGGUAAUACAGAGGGUGCAAGCGUUAAUCGGAUUUACUGGGCGUAAAGCGCGCGUAGGCGGCUAAUUAAGUCAAAUGUGAAAUCCCCGAGCUUAACUUGGGAAUUGCAUUCGAUACUGGUUAGCUAGAGUGUGGGAGAGGAUGGUAGAAUUCCAGGUGUAGCGGUGAAAUGCGUAGAGAUCUGGAGGAAUACCGAUGGCGAAGGCAGCCAUCUGGCCUAACACUGACGCUGAGGUGCGAAAGCAUGGGGAGCAAACAGGAUUAGAUACCCUGGUAGUCCAUGCCGUAAACGAUGUCUACUAGCCGUUGGGGCCUUUGAGGCUUUAGUGGCGCAGCUAACGCGAUAAGUAGACCGCCUGGGGAGUACGGUCGCAAGACUAAAACUCAA